UGAGUGGGCUGUGACUCCGCGGAACCCCGCCCUGGUCCCGCGGGCGGGAACAGCCGCCCUUCGCGCAGCCAAUCAGAACACAGAGAUGGCUUUGCUUGACGUGGAAGCCACCAAGUGAGCUUGAAGGUAGAUAGAGGGCGGGGAAGCGGGGGCCGGCGAUGUUGAGAGUGAUAGGAAAAGUGGCCAGUGGGAGGGCUGGAAGGAGGGAGGAGGAGCUUCCGGUCCCGCCCCCUCACGCGUGCCCGCCCGAGGGGGUGGCUUGAAGCCUUCGGAGGCUGGAAUGGCAGUGAUGUGGUCUGAGGGGCUACUUCGGUUUUGUGGGAGCUUUGUUACAUGGGACAAGUUUUUCUCAAAUGUUUACAUUACCGAUGAACACUGGAGAGGAGAAAGUGAAGCGUAGGCACAUAGGGUGCAAGGCGUUUGACUUCAGAGCCCUUUGAAGACGUUCCAGGGCGUACUUACAUUUUAAACAACAAUGCUGACAGAAGAUGAAGCAAGGAACAGUAGCUUCAUAUUGAGUUCAGGAAGAGUGAGUUGUUUUGUUUUUUUCCUGUUCAUCCUUCUGGUAUGUCAAAAAGGCCUGCUUCACAAAUAUGUGGGACUAGACAGAGAUUUUGCGUUCUUUGUUCUCUAUGCUCUCUGAUAAGGCAGAAGGACUUUUCAUAACCAGAGAUCCUGAGAAUAAGGAGUACCAUCCUUGGAGAAAGUGUAACCUGUCAUUAAAUCAACGUGCCUUAAAGAACCAAGUCUUCUAGGGGAGCAGGCAGUGUCCCAGUCACACAUAACGUAUUAUACCAACACUACCACCUACAGGAGUUCAGCAAAAAGGAUAUGGCACUUAACAAAAUGCAAAAUAAAGCAGAAAUCAAGGCUCUUCCAAAGGAUGGUCUGACUUUUCUUAAUAUCCAGGAUUUGUCAUUUACCUUUUUUUUUUUCUCUUGAGCAACCUGUCUUUUGGAGUAAAUCUUUAGCUAUAUCAAGAGCUGUCAAGAUAAUUCUUGCCUCGUGAAUCCAAACACAGCUGUUGUUGUGCAUAGCCAUGUUUUGAAAAAGGCAUUUGUUUUUGCAUUGUAACAAACUGUGCUAGAAAUUUUGCUCUUUUUCUUGAGGAUUUAAGUGUGAGUUUAUGUGAUUUAAAUUAAGACCUCAUAUAUGUUCAUAGUUCAGAAACACAUUUGCAGAAGGACUUGGCUUAGGGAAAUGUGCAAAUUACUGGUUUUGGUUUAUAUUUAGGGAUAAGACAGAACUGGUAUUUUAGCUAGUGUGGUCAUUGUAUUACUUACACAGAUGUAUCUAUCUCAUGGCUCUGUAGCAAGCUGCUGUUAAGCUGGCGCGAACAGAAAUGUCUGAAAAUGUGUGAGGGAGAUUUUAAAAAUACAUCCUCACUUGUGGUAUCUUCCAGUGGUCUUGGUCUUUGAGGGAUUCUGUUUCCAGUUAUCCUCUAUCACAAACUAUUUUACCUCCAUAGACGAAACUGAAAUGGUAGCUUUGCAAAGUAUUUACGCUAAACCUAUGGCAUAUUAUUUUUCCUCCCUUUAUCAAUUACAUGUUGGUCAUUGCUAGAUGGAAUAGAUGAGCCAUAAGUAACAGAGAGGUUCAAAUCUGCAUCUUUAAAAGAGAGGAUGGCAGAAAAUUGCUGCAUUCCUCUCCUGGGCGGUACUACACUUCAGCAAGUACUCAAGCCCAGUUUAAUUCAGUGAAGUUUAGCUAGAAGGAAGUUUUAACCAUAUGUAAAAGGCAAAGUUACUUAAUGUCCUGUGGAAACCACUCUUCCAAAAAAUGUGUCAAAAUGGCAAUUAGAUCUUCCUUAUCACAGUAGUCAGCAAGAAAUAAAUAAGUUGAGAUGUGGUGUCUUUUAUCCUGAGCGCUCUCAUAUCCUUGUUGGGAUUUUAAUUUCCUCUGCAGGCUUGCAAGAGUCAAGUUUCUGAGAUGAUACCUGUGAGAUUAGCACCAAAUGCUGUGUGUUUAUGUAUUUUUAUCACUCAAACUGGUUGGGAACUUCAUUCCUGUUUUUGCAGGAAAAUUUCAGGUUUCGUCCAUUGGUGAUGUGACCUCUGGAGGUAUACUGACUUCCAAACAUUUGGCCUAAAUAGGAAAACAUCUGGAUGGAGUUAGUGUGAUAACUGUGAGAAGGCGAACUGAGAAGUUUUACUUGCUUGGUGACUGCUGUACAUGGCUGUCAUGUACAAAUGUCAUGCUGUACAUGACAUUUUCAAUCAAGGUGCUACUCAGAAAGAACAUUCUUAUUUUAGCAAAAGGAAGUUAAAGAUACCCAGGGAAAUGGCACAUGCAAGUAACGUAUUUAUGUGUUUAAUCAACAACAUCACUUCAUUUUCUUUAGCUUUUCUGUGCUGACUGUACUGCUUUCAGAUGUAUUUUCUAGAUGUGGAGGUAAAAUAACGAGAAUUUUUAAACUGUUUAGCAAGUGAGCUGUGGAACAAGGCAGUAAAAAUCUGCUCAAGGAGGAGGUAGACAUUUAGACUCAGAUGUUGAGCUGAGACAGAUAAUCGAAGCUCAUACUAAAACAUUAAAACAGAGAAGUAAAACACACUUGCCCAGAAUUGUUCAACAAUGCUUCCUGUCAGCUCUGAGAAGAGAGCAUUUAUACCAAGGGAUAGAAUAUAAAGUUAUCAUUUGCCAUCAUGACUACACAGAGUCUUCAGUAGCUGCAUUUAGCUUCAGAAUAUUGUAUAAGCCUGCUUUCGCUCUAAUGAUACAGCUAUUGCUGUGAAGUAGUGCUCAGAAGGUUAUACUAUGAGCUCUGAGCAGUAGCAUUUCGGAAGCAUGUCUUAAUUAGAACUUCAGACAACAGCAGACUACUAAAAAAAAAAAAAGCAAACCAGUGAAAAAGAAAACCACUGAAACAAUUGUCUGAAAAGCCAGACAUCGAAAAAUGUCACGCAGGUCUUGGUUCUUUCCCAGUGUCCUUUGGGUACUUAGCCCUAGUAUUCUCACUAUCUUCUCUGUAUUAAACCUUGUGAACUACUUAUCACACCUAAACUGAACAGUGUCAGUAUUAAUUUACCUGUCCGUGGUGUUGAAAACUAAGCUUCGGGUUGACAUAUUACUUUACAGUAUAAUAUGGAUUAAAAAGUUAUGUUCUGCUUUGAUAAAAAUAAAUGUGUUUACUCAAAAUAAUUAAAACUGUGCAGCAGAAUAAUAAUAACUAUAACGUUGGAAAGUCAUCAUGAAAGUUUGCCAUUUUCUGAAAAUAACCUCCUCCUUUUCAUCUACCAUUAUAGAGGAAAUGCAUUUUUUAACAGACAUGCAGAUAACUACCUUGACUUCUUAAGCUUUUGGUUAGAUAGGAUAGUACAGAUCUGAAAUAUCAACAGUACAUCCAGACAUCACACACUUCAUAUUGCUAUUGAAAUAUUUUCUAUACCUUAUUCUUAAAAGUAGUUCAUUUGAGCAAUUAUUUAUGUCGGUAUUUUACAAGUGGCAGAGCAUGCAAGAACCCUUGCAUUUGUGUCAGUAAUUACAUGAGUGUUAUGCUUUGCUUUUCUUGGAAUACAGCUGAUGCAUUCUGCUUAUGGUCUGAUGUUUGCAGAAUCGGGGCUGAGUAAGCUUUCCUCUUUGUUUUUUUCUUUUGCGUGUGUAUGUUUUACCAUAAUUACAGUAGGUGAAUGUUGGGUGUGCCAGCUCUGUUCGAGUUUCAUCUUUUCAUGAAGGCUGAAAAACUAUUUUCAGUCAUUCUCCAGCUACUUAUGUUAAGAUUGUAAUAAUGAGUUAGUCAAAUACCUGAUUUCCUUGAGGACUCUAAAACUGGCUUUAAAAUCAAGUGAGAAAACAUCCCCUCAGCAGCUCUUUGGGUGUAAUUUACUCAAUUUGAAAAUAUAAGCAUACUAUUUUUGUUGAUCUCUUAUGCUGCACUAAGCUUUGUAGAAGAGAUUUUACCAAGCAUCAUUUUCUUUCUGUGCUGAUGAACUCAUUAGCUGGCUUGCCUUAAUGCUCCAACGUGAUUGUGCUGGUGAACCUCAGCAACCAGCCAGAGAUGUUACAAGCGCUCAGAACUGGUCUGACAGACUGCCUGAGGGAGAUCCUCUGCCCUUCUUACAAGGCAUGUUAUGCUGAAGAAAUCAAAAAUGUGUCACUGUGCCUUUGGUAUGAUUUUAACUUCAAGCCUGUCUUCUCACUAAGUAUUGCCAGAGCUUUGAGUUGGUUUCAUAAUGAUAGACAACAUCAGUAAGGGACAGUCUGAGUGACAGUUAAAUACAGUUUAUAUGUACACUAAGGCAGCAUUCCUUGAAAAGUGGUGAACUGAAGAAUGCAGGCACUGUCUCUGAAAAAUGAGCUCCAAGUUGUUUAUGGGGAGCAAGUCUGGUUGAAGAAAGUGGCUCUAAACUGUGAAUUUGGAGGGUAAGCUAACUCUCAGCAGCUUUGUCUACAGGGCUCAGUUUCUGUGUAAAGCUUUGCAUAAUAGCGAACAGCAAUGCAUGAGCUUUGCCUGUUUUCCCAAUAACAGUGCAGCAGGAACACCUUUCAUAUCAAAAGCUGGAAUUGACUGUAAUGAAGUGAUCUGGCAUGCAGCCUAAUUAGCAUAGAAUAAGACCUUGUCGUGCAUCAUUUGCACCGCAGGAAUCAUCUGUGUCCAUGCAUUUCUAUAACACUCUCAGACAUAGGGUCUGGAUUUUGAGUUGCCCUGUGUGGAGUCAGGAGUUGGACACAAUGAUCCCUGAAGGUUUCUUCCAACUCAGGACAUCCUGUGAUUCUAUGACUUUAUGGUCAUUUGCUAACCAAGCACUGGUAUACGCUACCUAAGUGCACGUGCAGGAAGUCCGGCCUAGAUUUUGUAUGGGGCAAGGCAAAAGGCUCAAAUGCUUGAUGAAAGACAAAAAAGACAGUUUAUGACCACUUUGUCCAGUUUGGUCAGGUUUCUGUGUUGUUUUUACUUCAUUAGUGUGAACAAUGUGAGCUGAAUAAACAAGUAAUGUGGCUGUGGUGAGGAUGUAAUUUCCACCAGCCUUUCACCAUGGUGUGACCAAUUGCGUCUUUGUGGUUAGAUUGAUUCCUACUUUACACAAGACUAAGAACAGAAUCAGGCAGCUUCUUUGGUGUGAAGGGUAUAUGUAGCAUCUUCAUGUUGUUUUUAUAUAUUACAUAGGUACUCACCAAGAUACUGUCUGUGACACCUGUUUUGUCUUGAUCCUUAGGAAAUACAGAAAAACUAAAAGGUAAUUUGGAAUAGUUCUAAUUUUCCUGCUCCUUAUUGCAGCUAAUAAAGAUGUUGAUUUAUAUAUUCAAUAUGAUUUGCAUGUAUUUUAUGGUUAUUUCAUUUCCAUUCUGGCUCUAAUACAAACUAACCUUCUUAUAUUGGGGAGCACACUGCCUUCUGAAUGACAAUCUGGAAAAUAGUUCUGGAAAGUAGGACUCAGAUUUUACUCUUGCCAUUUUCCCUGCUCUCCUUUUUCCUUAGUAAAAGUGAAAGCUCUUCCUAAAUCCAAAUGUACAUCUCUCUGCAGCAUCCACAACAAACUCCUCCUAACUGCAGCUUAAUUCCUUUUAGCAUUCUUCCAGAAGACACAGAGGGAAAUAUUCCUGACAUUGCAUCAGUGGUUUCACUGAAGUUGACUUCACUUGAGCAAAGAGAGUAGCAUUGGACUAGUAAAUAAAGUUAUGAAUGUCUGGAAAAAAGAUAACCCCAAGAGCCUUAGAUGUAAUUAUUCUGUUCUUAGCUAUAAUGAUGUUGGGAUUUAUCUUAACACUUCUCACAUGUGAAUCAUUAAUCAGAUUGCUGAUGAUAUCGAUAGUUCCUUGCCUGAAUGCAGUUGGAAGUUUGCAAGGAUCUUUCCAACAAUCACACAUACAGACAGCUAUUCCAAUGUUGUUUUUAUCCUAUGUCCACAUGAGGUGAUGCUUAUGUGACCACACUGUAUGUCUGUGUGUCUGCCUAAUAAAUUUGGAGCACUUUCAGCCAACUAGGACAGUGCUAAAGGUCCCAAAAUUCAAAUUUCCUGAGCUGCUUAGGGAAAUAGAAGAUGCAAUCCAGGAAAGAGACUCAAUUACUGUAUUCAUUGAGAGAAGGCUGUAAGGUUUCCCUGUUUCUAUGGGACACUGGAGAGUUUAGAUAAUGCAGACAGGGAAACAGCGGGAAACUCUUCAGUCAGUUUUCACCUCAUUAAACACAAGAGAAUCCAACUCAUAAGACAGAGGGUGGUAGGAGACCAGAUUUCAUUGCUUAUGAUAUGGUGGGGGAAGGGUUUAAUAUGGCUUCUUGCAGAAAGAACAAUCCUGUUACAGCUUACCUCCUUCAAACAAGCAGAGACUAGGAGGGCAGGAAGAUGUUGGACUUCACCUUCCACUUUUUCUAACUUGCAGUAAAUUACUUCCGUGCUGAUUCUAGGUGAUAUCUUGAAA